AGGAGCGGAAUGAUGGGAAACUAUCACGUUCCGUUUUGGAGAGCAGUGGAGGAGGCGACUCCUUCACUGACUUUAAU
rfam:Oscillatoria nigro-viridis PCC 7112, complete genome.